ensembl:lncRNA
AUGACUAUCCAGAGUUGGGACCAGGAAACAGAGUUGCAGUCUUACACGCCUCUCUGCAGCUUCUCUCCUCCUGCUACCCCCCAAAAACCCAUCUCCAUUGAGACUGUGUCAGCUCCCAAAAAGACAAAAAACAAACCAAAAACCAGCAAUAAAAAACUUAAACAUAAAAAAUCACAAAGAAAGAACAAUACAGUAUCCACAUCUGAACCAAAGAGUAAAACAGUGAAAUGUGGAUUAUUAAAUAUUAGGUCUCUCUCCUCCAAGUCUCUGUUAGUACAUGACUUAAUAAUUGAUCAACAAAUCGAUUUACUCUGCCUUACAGAAACCUGGUUGCAGCAGGAUGAGUAUGUUAGUUUAAAUGAAUCAACACCCCCGAGUCAUUCUAACUACCAGAAAUCUCGAAGCACAGGCCGAGGGGGCGGUGUGGCAGCAAUUUUUCACACCAGUCUAUUAAUUAACGAAAGACCAAGACAGACUUUUAAUUCAUUUGAAAGCCUGAUGCUUAGCCUUGUCCAACCCAGCUGUAAAACUCAGAAACCAGUCUUACUUGUUAUUAUCUAUCAUCCACCUGGGCCUUACACAGAGUUUCUGUCUGAUUUCUCAGACUUUUUAUCUGAUUUAGUGCUCAGCUCAGAUAAAAUAAUUAUUGUGGGUUAUUUUAACAUCGAUGUAGAUGCUAAAAAUGACAGCCUCAGCAUCGCAUUUAAUCUGUUAUCAGACUCAAUUGGCUUCUCUCAAAAUGUAAAAGAACCCACCCACCACUUUAAUCACACUCUAGAUCUUGUUUUAACAUAUGGCAUAGAAACUGAACAUUUAACAGUGUUUCCUGAAAACCCUCUGCUGUCUGAUCAUUUCCUGAUAACAUUUACAUUUACAAUAAUUGAUUACACAGCAGUGGGGAGUAGACUUUAUCAAAGUAGAUGUCUUUCUGAAAGUGCUGUAACUAAGUUUAAGAAUAUAAUCCACCCACUGUUAUCAUCUUCAAUGCCCUGUACCAACAUAGAGCAGAGCAGCUAUCUGAACGCUACUCCAACAGAGGUCGAUUAUCUUGUUAAUAAUUUUACCUCCUCACUACAUACGACUCUGGAUACUGUAGCUCCUGUGAAAACUAAGGGCUCAAAUCCGAAGUACCUGACUCCGUGGUAUAAUUCUCAAACACGUACUAUGGGCUCAAAAUGUGGUCAUAAAUAUUUUGUACUUGUAAAUCAGUUUUGUACUUGUAAAUCAGGAUUUGUAUGUGUAAAAAGAAUUUGUGUGUGUGUAAAAAAGAUUUGUAUGUGUAAAAAGAAUUUGUGCGUGCUAAAAAAGAUUUGUAUGUGUAAAAAAGAUUUGUGUGUGUGUAAAAAAGAUUUGUAUGUGUAA